GGGCUCCCUGCCCUUACUUGCGAUCGUUGUUUUGGUUGUUGGCUUGCGUGGUUACGCGUCUGCGGUGUCCUUUAAGUGGAUCCUCAGCCAUCCGUAAUCGAUGAUUUCGUUUUCGGAUUGGACGAUCCAUCGAUCGUUGAUUUCGUUUUCGGAUUGGAUGAUCUGUUUCCGAUAGGUGGUGCAUCCAAAUCCUCAGCCAUCCCUUAAUCGUUGAUUUCGUUUUCGGAUUGGAUGAUCUGUUUCCGAUACUUGAAACUGAUCUACUUUCCAUGCGGGGUGUAUCAAAAGCCUUGAAACUGAUCUGUUUGGAUGAUCGUUUUCGGAUUGGAUGAUCUGUUUUCGGAUAGAGGGCUUCACAAUUUUGCCGGAUAAGGCUAUUUGCGACCGAUUUUAUAUGUACUUUCGAAGCGGUAGGUGAGGCUUUGGUGUUUGUGUGGGUAUUAUCUUAAUGGAACCCUCGCGGAGUCUGUGAGGCAAUUUGUGAAGGUUGCUCUGGUUUUCCGAAAUGAUCUGAACAAGGGAUGUGUCCUUUUUGAUCUGGUUUAGUUGGCCUUCGUUACUUUCAACUUUUAUUUGUUGCAUUUAUGUCCACCAGUUGGUUAUGUUUGUUUGUUUUUAUUUUUUGUGUGCAAGGGAAAGCUUCUGGAUAUGAUAUUUGAAAUAGAGAUGUGUGUGUUUUGCUACCAUGCUAUGAUAUUUGGUUUGAGAUAUACGCUAACGGUAUCUGCAUCAAUGCUGUGUCUUUUGGAUACUCUAGUUGGAUUUAGACGGGUAUCAGGGAAGAGUUCCAUCAACUUCUCAUUUUUUGAGGGUUUUUGUGGGCAGUUGCCGAAGCAUCAUCGUUAGGCAUGAUUCUAUUAAAUAGAGAUGAUUCUAUAUGUGUCAUCGACGCUGUUGGUGGGGCUCUGGUGUUUUUGUGAUUAUUAUCUGUAUGGAGCCACACGUAGCUGUGAUGCAGUUUGUAAAGGAUGCUCCAAUUAAGGAUGCUCUGGUUUUUGUUGAAUGAUUUAAAUAGGUUUUCCAUUAGAUAGUGUUAUAUUUAAGGGGUUUCAUUGUUGUGACAUACGUUGCUUAUUAUGAUGGAUCCAGGGCUUCCGAAAUUAUCUGAACAGUGGAUAUGUCCGGUUUGUGCUGGUUUAGUCAGCCCUUGUUACUUUCAAACAUUAAUUGUUGCCCUUACGUGCACAAGUUGGUCAUUUGAUACGGUUCUCAUCAAAGUAUGGUUGUUUGUUUUUAUUUGUUGUCUGCUAGGGAAAGCUGAUGGACAUCUAGUUUUGCAUGGGCAUGGGACAUUUCUUUGAAAGUGAGAUGUGGCAAGUUGCAUGUUUUGAGCUUCCAAUGGUGAUGGUGGCUGGCGUUGGUAAGCUGGCCAGAUACAUUGUUCUUUCAAGUUGGUUCAUCCAUGAAUUGACAUUGUAUCCAUUGAUUUAAUUCAUGAUUGUUUGUAAGAAAAAUUUUAAUGUUCGAUGUGUUGGUAAUUAUACUUCUAAGAAGUUUAUAUAAUAUUAUUUGGUAGCUUACAAGCUUUAUUUUUUGUCUGAUUCUGGUAGUGUUUUGUCAGUUAUUGGGUAGCAUGAUGUUGGUUGGGGGUGACUCUAUUUUGUGUCUCAGAUUUGUAUGUCUUGGGUUUUCUCUUGAACAGGAGUCUUUGACAAGGCAUAUCUUUGAUGAGGCAUAUCUGCCAUGUUCAUAUAAUAUUAUUUGGUAGCUUACAAGCUUUAUUUUUUGUCUGAUUCAUGUAGUUUUGUUUGCUCAAAACUUGCUUUUUUGUGACUUGCAAUUGUAUGACCCUUUUUCUGAUAUUGUUAUGCUUCCAUGCUUUACAUUAAUGUUUUUUAGUUGGCAUCUGUGUAUUCUUGGAUUUUUCAUGACUAAAUGACUGUUCAUCACCAAUUUUUGAGUGUUCGUCAUGAGGGGAAUUUGUCCUCAGUUUUCUUCGUUGGUGAGAUGUUUAUGAAUCUUAAUUUUGUUUAUUAGGAAUUUCGGAGUAUCUAAGUUUGGUUGUAUUUAUUUAUUGAAUUGUGAAUUUUUUGUAUUACAUUAUUGUUUCAUGAUUAUCUUCUAUAUUGUUUGUUGAUAUUUCGAAACUAUUCCAGUAGUCUAUAUUUUUUUAGCAAUUUGCUAGGUUUAGAUAGUAAGCUGAGUUGGAAAAUGAUAAGUGGAAGGUGUCCAUAAUUGUCUUCAGGUAACAAUAAAAUAUUAUUUAGUAAAAAAUAUAACUAUUGGGAAAUAAGCAUAUGAUUGUUUGCAAGCUUUGGAAACAUGUGAAGACAAAAUUUGAAGCUUGAAGAAUAUGAGAAAAGGGUUAUAUAGCUAUCUUGAAAUUAAAGAGCAUGUGUUUAUUUAUCCCUUGUGAAUUUGCUUGGACUGUUUAUGAGGAUGUUAUGAUACUUGUGAGACUUUUUACUUGGUUUUGCAUCUUUGAAGUAUUUUAGAGCUUAUUCAUUAUGGUGACAAUUCCUGUUCAAUUAUGUUUGUUUUUUUUAAUUAUUACAUUUUCCAUGCUUUUACGACUAAUUUACUGUGUUGAAUGUAUUUCCUGUUCAAUCAUGUUUGGUAUUUUCUUUGACUACAUUUUCCAAGCUACUAUGAUUAUUAGAUUACAUUUUCUUUGACUACAUUUUCUUUGUCGAUAUAUUUAGCUACUAUGCAAUUUGGUUAUUAGAAAUUUGAUUUUGUUGUUCAUAUAGGUUGUAGCAUAUUUUGUAAUUAGUAUGAGAUUUGCAUUGAUUAUCGUUUAUCAAACAGAUGGGUUUGCUGUUUAGAAUUUAAAAUUAAAUACAAAAACGAACAAGAAUAGAAGACUGGUAAAUUGGACAUUGCAAUAACCACUUUACUAUCAUUGUUGUUUUCGAAGCUUAGCUAAGAAGAGUAUAAAGUUGGAUAUUAUGUGAUUUGUAGUUGCAUGGGAUGAUUUUUAUGUUCAGAAGUUCAUUGCUGGAUAGGUAUUCUCCAGCGAGGUUGAUCAACUUCUCCUUUUGUCAACAUUUGGUGAUUGCAUUGGACUUCUACUUUACUGCUUGAUUGUUUUAUCUAAUUCUAUUUAUGUAUUCACGUUUUUCUUCUCUUUUUUCCCUAAUUGUCUUUAUUUUUUCUGGUGGUUGGUAAAUUUUCUAUUGUUAAUCUUAACAUCUAUAAUGGUAUUCAAUUGGCAAAUAUGUUGGGCAUAUGAUAGCUGUUGGCUUGAGAAUUAUGGGCAUUAUCUUUUUCCAUGUGAUAGCUGUUGGCUUUGUAGUUAUCUAUUGGUUCAUUUUGUGAGAAGUCUGCUUCUUGUUUUGCUGUUCUGUUGUGACAUUCCAGAAGCAUUGUUCCAUCACCAGGUGCAGUCUGGUUUUGCAUAUAUAAGAGAUAUGAUGACAUCUAUCUUGACUCUCUCCAGAUAGAUUAUAAAGCCUGGUGACUGAUACAUCUGCUUAUUUUCUACAUAAUACACCUGGUCUCUUUAUGUAUUCAUUUGUUGUCUUUCAGAUCUUCUGAACAUUGUUCUCCUCGAUUUUUUGUUGUGUGGUAUCCAAUAGCUUUUUUAUUUCUGAAAUUUUGGGGUGUCUUAGCUUCUGAACCUUAAUUUUGGGUUUUUAAUGUGAUCUUUCAUGAUCAUGGGGUUAUCAAAAUGUCUGUUUUUGUUGGAACUUUCUGUGAUAUACUGAUAAUGAAAAUGGUACAUUCUCUGUUCUAAUGAGUUCAUUACAUCCAUUGUUAUUUUUCACUUGGCUAUUGAAGAGCCUAUAGUUUUUAUGUCCUGGUUUUGGUGUUUUAGUUUUGGUUAAUUUUUCAGAAUUUCCUUUUUUUCUCCUCUUGACAUUGCAUUGGGUGGUACAAAUUAUUUUGUGCUUCAUCUUUGUGAACCAUUGGUAUCAGAAUUUCUGUGGUCUCUUUCCCUUUAUUCAGCUUUUGCUUUUCUUUUCUUUGAGACACAUGCCUGUUUCUCUUAUUCUAUGCUUCAUUUAUUGUUCAAGAAGCUAGGAUGGGGCUAACAGUGAAUGCAGUGAACCUUGGGUUGGUGAUCUCGAGCAAUAAUGAUGCGGGAUGACCCAAACUACGUCUUUCCAAUGUGUCUUCAAUUUGGAGUUAUGAUAGUAUAAUGUUGUUUGGUUGUUGGUUGCUUAACGUUGAUUGUUUGUAAUUUCUUUUGUAGGACUUUAAUGUUAUGUUUAGCACUGUUACAAAUGCUUCAAUUUGGAGUUGAUACUUUUGUCUAGUUGUGUAAUAAUUUGGAAACUUUUGUGUCUUCACAUUGCUUGUCUAAAUGGAUAAGAGGGGGUGGGCAUUGCUGCAGAUAAUGCAUGCGAGUGGAGGAUCGUAUUGUGCUGCUUGUGAACGUGGAUGCUUGGUCGUGGGUUUCUGUUGUGUUAUAAUUUGAGAUUAUCGUUGGUUGCAUUUGUGUUUGUUUUGACAUAAUUUUUAGGUUUGUUGUUUGACACUGCCAUUGCCUGUUUCAAGCCUGGAUGAGAAAACGUGGAGGGGGCAAUAGCUGAUCGGUACCUCUCUGUUGUAAACAAUCCAAAUGAUCUGCGAGUAUCACUACAUGAAUGCAUUGCUCAACCUGCCCAUAGGAGCAACUUGUAUGAGUUUCAUAUUUGGUUUUUGAAAUUCGAACUCUAGGGAUAAUAAUUCUCUUUGAGGUUUCUGUGUAGUGUACAUUGUAUGUAUAAUAUCUUUUCAAAAUUGAA